GGUCGGCAGCUGUAAUCACGCCGGCGUUAUUCACCAGGAUGGAGACAUCCCCAAUGUCCUUCUUCACCUUUUGGACAGAAAAAAACAGAAAGGGAGAGGAAGAUUGCACCAUGUUUCCAGAUGUGGUAGGACCUGUGCGGUAGUACCAUGAAAUCUGGUUUAGAUCUGAGGCGUCUCCCUUAAUUACUGCCAGUACUUACAGUCUUCCACACAUUGCCUACAGACACAGUGUGCUCUGUGUAGUCACAGUUGGGACUGGAUGUGCAGACUGUUUUGAGCCAGCUGCACCAUAUCCUUUACAAUAAAAUAUUUCAAAUGUC